rnacentral:rRNA from 1 species
GAUGAACGCUAGCGGCAGGCCUAACACAUGCAAGUCGAGGGGUAGAACACUUCGGUGUUUGAGACCGGCGCACGGGUGCGUAACGCGUAUGCAAUCUACCUUAUACAGGGGAAUAGCCCAGAGAAAUUUGGAUUAAUGCCCCAUAGCAUUACGACUUGGCAUCAAGAUGUAAUUAAAGUUCCAACGGUAUAAGAUGAGCAUGCGUCCCAUUAGUUAGUUGGUAAGGUAACGGCUUACCAAGACGAUGAUGGGUAGGGGUCCUGAGAGGGAGGUCCCCCGCGAUGGUACGGGGACACGGACCAGACUCCUACGGGAGGCAGCAGUGAGGAAUAUUGGUCAAUGGUCGCAAGACGGAACCAGCCAUGCCGCGGGCAGGAAGACGGUCCUAUGGAUUGGAAACUGCUUUUAUACAGGAAGAAACCCUCCCACGUGUGGGAGCUUGACGGUACUGUAGGAAUAAGGAUCGGCUAACUCCGUGCCAGCAGCCGCCGUAA